AUCACGUUUAAACAACGAUUCUCGUACGAUCACCGAAGUUAAGCAACGUCAAGUCUGGUCAGUACCUAGAUGGCUGACCGCUUGGGAAUACCACAUGCUGUAAG